CCUACGGGAGGCAGCAGUGGGGGAUAUUGCACAAUGGGGGGAACCCUGAUGCAGCGACGCCGCGUGGGUGAAGGAGGGUUUCGGCGCGUAAAGCCCUAUCGGCAGGGAAGAAGAUGAUGGUACCUGACCAAGAAGCCCCGGCUAACUACGUGCCAGCAGCCGCGGUAAUACGUCGGGGGCAAGCGUUAGCCGGCUUGACUGGGUGUAAAGGGGGCGCAGACGGCAAUGCAAGCCAGGAGUGAAAGCCCGGGGCCCAACCCCGGGACUGCUCUUGGAACUGCAUGGCUGGAGUACAGGAGGGGCAGGCGGCCUUCCUAGUGUAGCGGUGAAAUGCGUAGAUAUUAGGCGGCACACCGGUGGCGAAGGCGGCCUGCUGGACUGUGCCUGCCGUUGAGGCCCGAAUGCGUGGGGAGCAAACAGGAUUAGAUACCCUUGUAGUC
rnacentral:rRNA from 1 species